GUUUAUAUGAUGGGUAGAGUUCAUAUGAGAGAGACGGGUAGUAUAUAUGAUGGGUAGAGUUUAUAUAAGAGACAGGUAGUUUAUAUGAUGGGUAGAGUUCAUGUAAGAGAGACGGGUAGUUUAUAUGAUAGGUAGAGUACAUAUGAGAGAGACGGGUAGUUUAUAUGAUGGGUCGAGUUCAUGUAAGAGAGACAGGUAGUUUAUAUGAUGGGUAGAGUUCAUAUGAGAGAGACAGGUAGUUUAUAUGAUGGGUAGAAUGCAUAUGAGAGAGACAGGUAGUUUAUAUGAUGGGUAGAGUUCAUAUGAGAGAGACAGGUAGUUUAUAUGAUGGGUAGAGUUCAUAUGAGAGAGACAGGUAGUUUAUAUGAUGGGUAGAAUUCAUAUGAGAGAGACAGGUAGUUUAUAUGAUGGGUAGAGUUCAUAUGAGAGAGACAGGUAGUUUAUAUGAUGGGUAGAGUUCAUAUGAGAGAGACAGGUAGUUUAUAUGAUGGGUAGAAUUCAUAUGAGAGAGACAGGUAGUUUAUAUGAUGGGUAGAGUUCAUAUGAGAGAGACAGGUAGUUUAUAUGAUGGGUAGAAUUCAUAUGAGAGAGACAGGUAGUUUAUAUGAUGGGUAGAGUUCAUAUGAGAGAGACAGGUAGUUUAUAUGAUGGGUAGAAUUCAUAUGAGAGAGAUAGGUAGUUUAUAUGAUGGGUAGAGUUCAUAUGAGAGAGACAGGUAGUUUAUAUGAUGGGUAGAGUUCAUAUGAGAGAGACAGGUAGUUUAUAUGAUGGGUAGAAUUCAUAUGAGAGAGACAGGUUGUUUAUAUGAUGGGUAGAGUACAUAUGAGAGAGACGGGUAGUUUAUAUGAUGGUAGAGUUCAUAUGAGAGAGACAGGUAGUUUAUAUGAUGGGUAGAGUACAUAUGAGAGAGACGGGUAGUUUAUAUGAUGGGUAAAGUUCAUUUGAGAGAGACGGGUAGUUUAUAUGAUGGGUAGCGUUCAUAUGAGAGAGACAGGUAGUUUAUAUGAUGGGUAGAGUUCAUAUGAGAGAGACAGGUAGUUUAUAUGAUGGGUAGAGUUCAUAUGAGAGAGACAGGUAGUUUAUAUGAUGGGUAGAGUUCAUGUAAGAGAAACAGGUAGUUUAUAUGAUGGGUAGAGUUCAUAUGAGAGAGACAGGUAGUUUAUAUGAUGGGUAGAGUUCAUAUGAGAGAGACAGGUAGUUUAUAUGAUGGGUAGAGUUCAUGUAAGAGAAACAGGUAGUUUAUAUGAUGGGUAGAGUUCAUAUGAGAGAGACAGGUAGUUUAUAUGAUGGGUAGAGUUCAUAUGAGAGAGACAGGUAGUUUAUAUGAUGGGUAGAAUUCAUGUAAGAGAGACAGGUAGUUUAUAUGAUGGGUAGAGUACAUAUGAGAGAGACAGGUAGUUUAUAUGAUGGGUAGAGUUCAUAUGAGAGAGACGGGUAGUUUAUAUGAUGGGUAGAGUUCAUAUGAGAGAGACGUGUAGUUUAUAUGAUGGGUAGAGUUUAUAUAAGAGACAGGUAGUUUAUAUGAUGGGUAGAGUUCAUAUAAGAGAGACGGGUAGUUUAUAUGAUGGGUAGAGUUCAUAUGAGAGAGACGGGUAGUAUAUAUGAUGGGUAGAGUUUAUAUAAGAGACAGGUAGUUUAUAUGAUGGGUAGAGUUCAUGUAAGAGAGACGGGUAGUUUAUAUGAUAGGUAGAGUACAUAUGAGAGAGACGGGUAGUUUAUAUGAUGGGUCGAGUUCAUGUAAGAGAGACAGGUAGUUUAUAUGAUGGGUAGAGUUCAUAUGAGAGAGACAGGUAGUUUAUAUGAUGGGUAGAAUGCAUAUGAGAGAGACAGGUAGUUUAUAUGAUGGGUAGAGUUCAUAUGAGAGAGACAGGUAGUUUAUAUGAUGGGUAGAGUUCAUAUGAGAGAGACAGGUAGUUUAUAUGAUGGGUAGAAUUCAUAUGAGAGAGACAGGUAGUUUAUAUGAUGGGUAGAGUUCAUAUGAGAGAGACAGGUAGUUUAUAUGAUGGGUAGAAUUCAUAUGAGAGAGACAGGUAGUUUAUAUGAUGGGUAGAGUUCAUAUGAGAGAGACAGGUAGUUUAUAUGAUGGGUAGAAUUCAUAUGAGAGAGACAGGUAGUUUAUAUGAUGGGUAGAGUUCAUAUGAGAGAGACGGGUAGUUUAUAUGAUGGGUAGAGUUCAUAUGAGAGAGAC